CCACAGACACAAACAGUGAAUGUCACCAGGUGAUCCAGCUCUGGAAUAGCCCCUGCGUGUUGACUUAUUGCUGGAGCUCUCUAGACACAUUUGCUGCCAUGAGAUGCCUCAGCCAAGGAUUCUGAGCCAAGAUAUGAGGGAAAUGGUUUAACCAGAUGUGUGCCCAUGCCUGCAACACAGAAUUUUAAGAUGCUGAAAUUUAAAAGCUUGCUAUCGUCUCCCCUGCCUCCCAGCAGCAAGGGUCAACUCUACUGAGGAG
rnacentral:lncRNA from 1 species